GAAAAGCACUCUGAAGAGAGAGUCAAAAGACCGUGAAACCGCUCAGAGUAUAAGCCAAUGGAGCUUGGAAGGCUUCCGCAGUCUCGGCCAUCACUUGUGAUGCGUCCGUAAGAACAAAAGCGCGGCUCAUUAGGCGUAGCAUUGAGUUUGCCAGGUUUAGCUGUCGUGCGGGGAAACGGCUUGGGGGUCUCAGGCUUCGGCUGAAGGGCUCCCGGUCGUCUCCUUUUGAAUGGAUGUUCAGAGCUUUUGUUCUAAUGCGGUUACGCCCACCACGGCACGUUGUGAGGUCACCCACAGGCUCAAACUGCCGAUCGCGCAUCCAGGACGAUGGCAACGAUGCGUUGUUCCAUGCCACUUUCUGCUCGGCGCAAGUCGGGUGGUGGUGGUGACGCGUGUCUAGUCCUGGGUCGGGCGGCGACCGAGAUAAACCUGGUAUGAUCCUCUGCGACGAGCUGCUUUCUGGCCAGACUGACGCCCGGGCAUCUCCACUGUGCCGGAAAUGCCAACCAAGGCGGUGUGUUCCCAGCUGCAUUAAGUAAGGUCUCCGCCGGGCGUCGCGGUCUGAGUGGUGUCAAGUCCAGCACCGUCGGUCACGUCUCGAAACACGGGCCAAGGAGUAUAGCAUGUGUGCAAGUCUAAGGGUCCCCCAAAACCCGAAGGCGAAGUGAAAGCAAGACUGUGGCGGGGGAGCUACGGCGAACCCGCCGGUCAUGUGCGGCGGUGCGUUAACGCGUGCCGUUGCCUGGCUUUUAACAGAGCUGAUCCUGUUUUCACUGUUGAAUCUUGGUGCAGGCGCAAGCUCCGGGCUCACGUACAACACUGGUGACGCCUCGCGCGUGGCUGUGUUGUGAGCACCGUGGAGCAUGCAUGCUAUGACCCGAAAGAUAGUGAACUAUGCCUGGCGAGGGCGAAGCCCCAGGAAACUGGGGUGGAGGCCCGUAGCCGUUGUGACGUGCAAAUCCAUGGUAUCAGUUGGGCAUAGGGGCGAAAGACCAAUCGAACUAUCUAGUAGCU
rnacentral:rRNA from 1 species